rnacentral:rRNA from 1 species
UGCUUCAAAAACGGGAUUAGAUACCCCACUAUGCUUAGCCCUAAACAAAGACAGUUCAAUUACAAUACUGUUCGCCAGAGAACUACAAGCGAAAAACUUAAAACUCUAAGGACUUGGCGGUGCUCCAUAUCAACCUAGAGGAGCCUGUCCUAUAAUCGAUACCCCACGCUAAACCUUACCCCCCCUAGAAACACAGCCUAUAUACCGCCGUCGACAGCCUACCUUAUGAAAGAACCUAAGUAAGCACAACAAUUAACAACUAGUACGUCAGGUCAAGGUGUAGCAUAUGAGGGGGCAGAGAUGGGCUACAUUUCCUCCCACAGGAAAUACGCAUGGUAUACUGAAACACCCUCCUGAAGGUGAAUUUAGCAGUAAGAUAAAUAAGCACAAUUGUCUAAAAUCUGCUCUGGAGCGCGCACACACCGCCCGUCACCCUCCUGCAGUCA